rnacentral:rRNA from 1 species
UACGAAGGGGGCUAGCGUUGCUCGGAAUCACUGGGCGUAAAGGGUGCGUAGGCGGGUCUUUAAGUCAGGGGUGAAAUCCUGGAGCUCAACUCCAGAACUGCCUUUGAUACUGAAGAUCUUGAGUUCGGGAGAGGUGAGUGGAACUGCGAGUGUAGAGGUGAAAUUCGUAGAUAUUCGCAAGAACACCAGUGGCGAAAGCGCAUCACUGGACCUCGUCUGACGCUGAGGCGCGAAAGCCAGGGGAGCAAACGGG